rnacentral:rRNA from 1 species
GUCUAAUCUGCUCAAUGAGGAUUUAAAUUGCCGCGGUAUUCUGGACCGUGCGAAGGUAGCAUAAUAAUUAGUUUCUUUAUUGGAAGCUGGAAUGAAUGAUUGGACGAGAAAAUUGCUGUCUCUGUUUAACUUGUUUUUGAAUUUAACUUUUAAGUAAAAAGGCUUAAAUUUCAUUAAAAGACGAGAAGACCCUAUAGAGUUUAACAUUUAAUGCUUAUUGGAGAUUUUUUGGGAUUGACUUUUCUAACUGGGUUGUUUGUUUGGUUGGGGUGACUGGAAGAUUAAUUAAACUCUUCUAAUGUUGAAUUACUUAUAAGUAAAUUUUUAAUUCUGAUUUUUUCAAGUUUAACACAAAUUACCUUAGGGAUAACAGCGUAAUUCCUCUUUAGAGUUCGAAUUGGGAGAGGAGUUUGCGACCUCGAUGUUGGAUUAAAAUUAAUAUUGGGCGCAGUAGCUUAAUUAUUAGGUCUGUUCGACCUUU